CCCCGGGCAACGCCGAGUCCUGCCCGCCCGGGGCGGACCCCCGAGAACGUAACUUGGGCAGGAGUGGGGGACCCACAGGUUCCACCGCCGGACCGGACGACCCGGGACGGCUUGGGGUGAAGCCACUCACGAGUGGCGGAGCACUUUCCAGCUCCAACCCGACAGCUCACCUCACAGGCGUGGGAAAGGACUU
rnacentral:sRNA from 2 species